GGAGAACAGGAAAGAUGCCUCAAGUUGCACCGGCGUGGAUUAUUGUACUUUAAAAGGGGCGUGAACAAGCCUAACCAUCACAAAAGAAGAAAGUCUGCUUCCUGACUGAACCUGUCUGCCAGAUCAGCGACCAAGGAGUUCGCUUGUAUGAAAGUCCUGCUUGAUCGCCAGUGUCUAGUGCCUCAACCCUACGGCCUCAGUCGACAUUGGGUGGUAAUGGAACUGAUUAAAGGCACUCUUCUUCAUCGCGUGCAAGAACUGAACAACGUGAAAGCUCUUUACGACAAACUGAUGAACAAUAUAAUGAGAUUUGCUUUGUACGGGGUGGUUCACGCCGACUUCAAUGAGUUCAACAUUUUUAUCACUCACGACGAGAGGCCAGUCAUCAUAGAUUUUUCACACAUGCUUUUUACUCACCAUGCAAAUGCUAAAAUGCACUUUGAAAGGGAUGUGAAUGGUGUGAUCAACUUCUUCAAAAAAAGGCAAGUUGGGAAAGGUGGCUCUUGGCAGUUUACUAAGUAGGAAUAUUUUUACAGGUUYGGCUUCGAAAGCGCAACAUUCCCUCAAUUCUCAGACGUGGUGCGCUUGGACACCAUAAAUAUGGACGCCGAGCGUAUUGGGCUCAAAGAGGACYUGGCCGAACUCAUCAAAGCAGUGAGGCAGCAACUCUGRAAUGAGUCUAAUAACUGCGAUGAUGGGACGGCCGGUGAAUUAAAUGAAGAACCUCUGGAACACGUUCAUGUCGAAUUAGACGAAGAUUUCGAUGGGGGAUUCUUCGAAGACUCUUUCGAUGAAGAAGUGAACUGAAUAUUCAACUAAAAGAUUCAUUACUCUACGAUAAAAUUUGAGCGUGAAUCAAUUUCUUUUCUUUCGAUGAAGGUUUUCCAAUACGAGCGACACUUUGCUGUGCCUUCUUCUUUUCGGAAAACAGUCUCAAUUAGGGUUCCAAUAAUUUAUUAGCAGGUUCCUUUUUAGCUUUUGUUUUUUCUACUGAGUUUUUGUUUAAUAAAAUUAUAUUGUUGGAGUUGUGGAGUACUUGAACUGUUGGUAAAAUUUGGCUUCGAAUAUACUGUAAACUUUCA